GGUGUUUUGUAAGGAUUUUUCACAUAUGAAGUAUUUGUUUAAUUCCAGAUGAUUUUUGCUCGGCAUACCUCGAUUUGAAAACAGUUGUGAUCACGCAGAGUCAUCAAUGCUGUUUCACUUGAAAGAUCUUAAACAGAGAUAAGAGUAUCUCUUUUAACCCUGGAUUCUCCAGUCUGCAUGAGCACAUGGAGUUACUGGUAAUACGAAGCGCAGCAGGACUUGUCGAAUACGCUAGGGUGGCCUGUCGCUUGGCGUUGAGGCAGAUGGCAAGGUGGUUAAAGGGAAAAAAACCGAGUGGAUUGGCUUUUGCACUUGUGGAAUUUGGAGAUAACUGUAGGAAUACACAAAAGCAUCAGUCUCUUAUCAGCGAGGCAUAUGAAUUUAAAACACGACCUCAGAAUGCAUUUCUGUGGUUAUAAUCUGCCAAACUGCAUUACAUGCAGAAGAAAAAAAAAGGGAAGAAAGAAUGAAGAGCAGACCAAAGGUUAGUGCCGCCCUCCUUGCUUCAAGUACAGCUUCACUUUUCUUCCUUAGCACCCGUGAGCCUGCAGUCUUGCGCAUUAUUUUUCCUGUUGAACUUUCUGCAGAGCUUGUAACAGUGUGGGGUACACAAUUACUUCUCUCCUUCUUUUAAAUCUUUACAGCAGUCUCUGAGAGGAAGUUGUAUUUCCAUUUUAAACUCAAGGAACGCAUAUCCGUUGCAUCAGUACCUGUUUACAUGACGUUAUUCUGACGUUCCUUCAGACGUUUCAGUUUUGGUGUGCAGAAAACGCAUACCCAUCUUGAAUUAAGAAGGGUGUAAGCAUUAAUUUUGGGGUAGGAAAGGAAAUGUAAUUCUGGAGAGUGAUCAGCUGUCUUAGCAAUGGAUGGUCUCUUCCCUUCUUAAAUUCCCUGCUGUGCUGCUUUACCUUCUGCAGGGAAAGGGAAGUGAAGCACUGCACAGGCUAAAAGUCCUGUGAGUACAAGUACUUCAAGUGCAUAAUUGAAGACAGUAUCGUAAUGGAUGUGCUCGGGAGAACAGAAUGCACAUUGCACAGGCAGUAAUUUGAUGUUUCGUAUGAUCGCUUUUUAACCAGUUCCUGGAUGCAGACUGCUUUCAGAAAGAAUUCUGCGUGGCACGUUCCAGGGUGCCAUAUUGAACUCUAAGCAGUCAGGCUUUAAGAGUUAAUACAUUGAAUCAGAGAGGUAGAGAUUUAGUGGAACUCUUUGCUGGUACUCCCUAUAGAGCAAACACAAAAAAGGAUAAGAACACUUGUUUUAAGUUUCAUGUCUGUUUUAUCAAGACCAGAAAUCUUGAACUCACUCGUCCAUGUGCAUUUUCAGUCAAAAUCUAUUGCAAUUACAGAUUUUUCUCAUUGUUCUGGGUGAGCUCUUUCCUCCUUUUUGUUUUGCUCAGUGCUGGCAGUAGCAAUACUGAAAUCACAGGAGAGGAAUUCUUCCUACUCUCAGUAUCGUGCAUCGUGGGAUAGUAGCAGCUUGGAAGAACCAUUGCAAUGAGCUUUAUUUUCAUGCAGGUACUGAGGCCAGCAUGCAACUUCUCUGCAAGAAUUGGAUAUGUAGUUACGUUGAAAUGCUACUGAUGCCAACAUCCAAACCAUCUCGGUUAAUAUGAUUUUCCCAGAGAUUCUGGCUGAGGUCGGAUGCUCAGCAUGGGGCAUUCGGCUUUGAACAGCAGGAAGAGCUUCCCAGCAGCUGAAGACAACCUCAUAAGCUGUUGAUGAGCAGCGUGACAAAACAUACUGGUGUUGCUGUUGAUUGAGUUAUCGGUCAUUGGCACCUCCACUUACCCAGUAAAAGCUAGAACUGAACAUAAAUGGUUCUUCCUGUAAGGCAGCAGGUCAAGCCUGUUAAUAUUUAAUUUAUCACUUUAUUUCCCCCUUGAACAACCAGCAGUAGUAGCCAUCCUUAGCGUAUGAAAUACGCGUUCCGAUCUUCCCUAUGUUGCCUGUUUUCUUUGUUCCUGCUGGUUCGCUGGCUGUUACUGUGCUCUCAGGUAUUUAGGGUGCUUCCAGUUGAAGUAGCAGUGAAUACGUUCUGUUUAUUUUUUUCCCUUGAAGGUAUCGGAAAAGAGGAGAGGUAGGAAAACCCUGUAGCUGAGGAAGUCUCAGCCUGCAGCCCAUUAUCAGCAGCUGUGAGGGCUCCUGCUUUUAUUUAGAAGAAAAAUUUCCUCUGGUCUGAUUUUCUCUUCUGAUAAAGUUCCUCUUGAAGAGCUUGUACUGAUUGGGUGCUUCUUACCAGACCUUUGUUGCAGAGCUCUAAUAUGAGCUUGCUCCAAGUGGGAAGCAUGCUGGAAGCGGCUGCUCAAAGGCUGGGAUGCACUUCAGGCAGAUUUUUUUGUUUCAGUGUGAAGGAAUAAAUUACUCAAAAUUAUAUUGUUCAAUGCAGAACAAACUUGUCAUCAGGCAGGUUCUAGGUAUUGUGCAUCAAGUAAGAACAAUCUUGUCAGAUGUCGGUGAACCAGCUGAACCUCCUAGGCAGUUGCACACGUGUUUCCUUCCUGAGCUCAGCUAAAUUGUCUGAUCUCAGUGCUCCUGUCGGCAGGUCAUUUGUACAGGAGAGGCUUUAACAUCUUGUGAUACACUAAUUCACAGAUAAAUGUAUGGAUUAACUUUUGCAUGUGAUGCUUCAACAAGAUUAGUUUUUCCUUUGGAAAUGUAAGGAGUCUCUUUUGGGAUUUUUUUUUUUUUUUGUUUGUUUGUUUUUUUGACAAAAAAUAGGUUUUGGUCUCAGUCGGGUGUUACGCACAGACAACAGCUCUGCUCUCUUUAGAGGGGUGUACGUGUCCUGACUAACAUCAUGUCUGUGGUGGAUUGCACUGAACUAAAGUAGUCCUAAGUUUUAGCCUGGAAACCAGUUUUUAUCCUGCUGUGCUUGCUUGCAGCUUACCUUUCUGCUUCGUGCAUCCUGCACAUGGGUGAGCGAACCUGCUCCCUACCUGCGCGGCAGAGUGCAGCGUUAGUUCUCAUGUAUCAGCUUCUGAAAAGCUUCUGACCUUCCCCCAGGAAUACUUCUGAAACGGUUGGAGCAAAAGAGCAGUGGCUUGGUAUGCUGGGGUGUACAGAUGAUUUUGAUACCAAGGAGCUACCUAGAAAAGUUAGCUUUAAGCUAACUGGGGGAAUCUGCAGAUAGGCAAGAGGCAGAUUAUUUAGCUGUGUUUUUAGAACCUCUUAAAUAAUUUCUAGUCUUGCUUAUAGACAUUAUUUCCUUAAAGCAAUGGGUAACCAGUUGCGUAAAUUUGUUGGCAGAGCUGAAAUGGUGUCCUUAAAAAUGUUUUGUUAUAAAAAAAUUAUAUGGGUGGGGCAGUAGCCUUUUUCUCCUCCAAAUAAGCUUUAUUUUAAGUACUUGCAUUAAAAUCUAAGGGAUUAUAACCCACUUUGGUUGAUAUGUACAAUUUCUAGAAAUCUGUUUUCCAGUCAUACGAUCAGUACCCAGAGCUGGCUACCGGGAAUUUUAGCGCCUUCAGGAAGAGGACUGGUUAACUGAAAUGCAACUUACAAAACAGGGAUCUUGGAGGAGUGACUUGGGGUGAGAGAAGAGAGUAGGUGGUUGGGGAGGACCAGGCCCUCAGUUGUACCAGUGCUGGAUAGUACAUAAAAGGCUGCUUCUAGUCUGACCCUUCUUCAGCGCUUUUCCAGUUUCAAAAUGUAGCAGUUUACAAAAAACUACCUUGUCUCAGUGGAAACAGCUUGUGAAGUCGAGUCAGAUUUCUUAAAUGAUACUUUAUGGCCUCAGACCUGGAACAGUCAGUGGAUUAUUUUCCCAGUUAAUGAAAUUAACAUUUAGUGCUUGCAGGUUGCCUUAAAACCAAAACCAAACCACCAAAACACCCCUACAAAAAACAGAAACACCAGGCAAGGAAAGCCAACGUGGCCGUGCCCGCAGCACCCUUCACUUCGGGUGUCUUUACCUUCUGUAUCUGCAGAGGGUGGAGUGAUUUGCGGCGGUGGCCCUGCAGGGAGGUGUAUGUGGUCAGGUCUAUGGAACGCCCUACUAAGGCAGUGGUUCAAGAACACGCAAACAGCUGAUCACUUCUCAGUAAAAGCUGGUGAUUGGCAAGGAUGGCUAUAUCGGACAUCAGGCUUCUGGACCCCUGCGUGCAAAGCUUGCUGUAUGCCCCUCCGGGAGGAGUAAGAGAACAAUGAAUUCUUUUUGCUUGCUAUUUUUGCAAGUGUGGCCAUUUUUCAGGUAGCUGAUAAAGCUCUUUGUGCUGCAGUUGGGGUUCUGUUACCACAUCAGAAGUGUACUGCAGGCUGCUUCAGGAUGGUCAAAGUUGGAGGGUCUUUGGUAAGGUCUUCUUGCCACUCUAGUGCUGGGAAUCCAAAGAGCUUGUACAGUGCUAAAGAUGAAGCCAGGAAGAUGAUAGCGAGGUGGCGUACCUUAAGAUUACAGGUCAUGUUCAGGAGUAGUAUACUGGAGUAGUGUACAUCAUAACAGGGUCCUUCGCAGUGUAAGCGCUAUCAUACCUACUCCAGAUUAGCAGUAAGCUCAUAAGUAAGCACUGCCAGGCUUACUGCGUCAUGCUUACUCCAGAAGAGCAGCCACCUUUGGGCACCUUCUGUUUCCCAACAGUUCUGGAUUCAGUGUAAAAUUUUUGGUGGACAACUUUAAAGACGACUCUUAAUCAUAAGCAUUUCUCUCAAACACUUGUUUUUCUGCCCCACCCGUAUUCUUUCAGAUACUAUUUAGGCUUUACUACAAAAAUCCUACUAAUUAAUCGCUGGUCAGUCUUUAUGCCAUACGUUUUGUGUCAGAUUUCUGUAGUUUUGAUUUUUUUUAAUUGCUGUACCUUUACAUCCAAGAAAGCAGUCUGUAGGCUUUUUGGCAGCGUUGCAGAGCUGAACGGGUAGGUCAGAGGAAAAAUAAGCUUCAUGUUGAAGAGGGAAUCCUCAGCAGUGUUUCAAUUUGCUAUCAAAAUUUCUCAGCUACUCGUUCAGAUUCAAAGCAGUAUUUGACCACCGGUGCUGUUACCCCUUGUUAAAAUGAAGUAUCUCAUGGCUUGCAGUUCUUGCUCUCAUAAUGUACAAACCAACUGAUACUAGUAGACAUGUUGAAUUUUAUGUUCUUGAGAAAUGAGGAUGCUUAAAGCCUUCACUGUUGUAUUUGUAGCUUCUCUUCUCUUCCUUUACUGUCCCUUCAUGGAUGGGCUGUACAGCUCUGCUUGUCGGUCUGGGCAGAGAGAGAGGGAAGAAGAGCGUUACCUGCAGUAUCUUGGGUCUGUAUAGCCAGUGAGCUACAGGUGCAAAGGUCAGUUGAGGUUUUUUUGAAAGGACCUUGCUAUUUUUCAAAUGAGUGUUUGAUGUGGUGUGUAAAGGUCAAAAUAACACAGGAUUCUUUUCUUUUAAUUUCUUUGAUAUUAUUACCGUCUCUACAUGAAGAAUGAGAUCUUCAGUGACUAUCAGGAUUUCGAGAUAACACGUGCUGAACAGGAAUGUAGACGUGCACUUAUUAGCUGAUUUUGCAUUUAAUUUGCCCAUUUUAUGCAAAUAAACAUUCAUUGUUCCUCAUCUCUGCAAAGCAUUAAACAUACAUUCUCUUUAAUGUUCCUUGUAAACAUUAAAUAUCUCACAAGAUGUUUCCUCCUGUGUAAUUUCUCUAACAGUGGUCCACAGAAAAUAAAUGUGUUUUUUCUCCCCUUCCAUUUGUUGCUUGACUGACUCUUGGCUGUGCAGGCUUUAGCCUUUUCUCUCAUGUCAAAUAGACAUCUUAAACUGCGUGCCUCACAAGUGUGUGCACAGCGGUGUGCGGCGUAGCAUGCGAGAGCUAAAGGUCAGAAAUGAAAUCUGUUGCGCAGGGCUGAAGUGGGGUACAUGCAGUGAGGACUGCACCUCCCAUGCUGCAGGAGGCUGCUGGCUUGUGAGAGGCCGUUCCACAAAUGUAGGUCAUCUUCUCUUUCAUUGGAAAUAGCUUAAAAAAUCCUUUUAGCAACUGAGUUGAGAUUUAAAAUAGAAGCAGCUAAAGAAUGUCAAAUGUCUGGCUGUACCAGUAGAAGUUGCUGAAAUGAGAUAUAAACGUGCAAGUAUUGAGUAGCAUAAAGUUAUUUUUCUAGUAUAUUAUAAGAUCUGUGCAGCGCAGGAAUGGCAGCAUGUUUAUACACAGGGAAGAAAACCAGUGCAGUUGUCCAGCUCUUAGUUGUUGCAGUUAGCUCCAGCACUCCCUCAACCAAGAAGUACUAAUAAUGGAUUUUUAAAUUAAAUUUGAAUUUAAGAAAUAAAUCAACAAUCAGUGGUUUUCUGUUACAGCACAAGGUUUAGAGGCUAGCAUGGAGGGCUUAGAGUCCAAGUCCAUGGUGGGAGUUGCCAUCCUUCUCAGAGGCAAUGCUUAUUGCUUUAACUUGACUCAUUUUCACUUACUUGAAAUUUUUACAUUAAUUCAGUGUUUUCUGUCCUCUAAUUAUAUAAAAGUAUGGAUUUGCUUUGGGAUUGAGGUAUGAUAACCUAGCUUUCCAUGAAAACUUUUUCUGCGAGGUAGAGAUUUUUGGCAGACUGAGGAAAAUUACUUAAUUUUUUGGUAGGUUUGUCUUGUUUGAGCUGGCAGGUGGGACUGAAAGCAUGUGCCUGCAAAUGUGAUCUUCUGAGCAUAAGGAUUUUCUACUGAGUAAGGCUUCUUUCAGUGCUGUUUGUACAAGAGGGAAGAGGUGAAUUAGCUAGGAAAGUUUUCUGUUCAGUACUUCUGUGGGACAACUAACCCUUAAAAAAACAGGGGAAAAGGGAAAGAUGCCCGUAAGACCAGUAUAACCAGUCAUCGCCUUCAUUAAUGGAGCUAAGAGACCGUCUGAAGGUCUCUAAACAGUGAAGGAUGUGGUUUGUCUCAGAGGUGCGUAACUUGUCCAAGCUGGCUGGAACGAAUGUUUUGCAUUGGAGCGCACACGGGCCCUUCUGAAGAAAACCGAGCUCGCUGGUUUCUCACCAGCAGCAGGAACCUCCUCCCGUUGCGUUAGGAGGCGGCAGUAAUCCUUAACGGUACACACAGCGAGAAUCGUGCCCACCCUUCUGGCUCCCUGUCCGCAGGCUCGGCCCCGUGGUGUGGGAGCCUCCCGGGGGAGGGCAGUGUCGGCUACCCUGGGGGUCCUACCCCUCCUGCUGUGGCGCUUUCCCCCGCCUCCUGCACUUCUGUCUGGCACGAGGUGGACUUUGAGUAACUCCCAAACUUUCAAUUUCUGAAUAACCCCCCCCCAAUCAGCCAAGGUAUAACGAUGGUUAAUUCAAGCCUGAGCCAGGUCUGUUUACUUUGCAUUUUGAUGUUGUCAAUGGAAGGGAACACUCUGAAAGCGGCAUGCAUUGAACCAUGCAGCGCGUAGGGUGUUUAAGAAUCCCUGUCUAUUAAAAUACAGGCACAGUGGUAGUUUCAAAGGUGAGUAAAUCUGUACACCAUGAAUAUUUCUGGAAUGUCACGUUGUUCAUCUCUUAAACCACCUAUUUCCUUCCAAAGAGAUGGCAGUGAGCAGCACUGCUUACUGAUCUCAUACACCCAGCUGUUAUCUUACAGGAAUAGACUUGUUUCUCCCUCCUUCUGUGCCUUUGCAUUCUAGUUUUCGAGGCGCACGUCACAAAUGUGCACAUCAACCAUGGGAAUAAAACCUCUACAGCUGAUAGAUUCCUACCACCAUACGUGUGUCUUGAUGAACCAGUAUUAAGUGAUACAGCUCGGAGAACUGCACAUUUUCUGUAUCCAGCAUUCCAGGAGAAGAAGAUAGUGUGCCUAAAAAGGUGUAAAGCAGAGAGGCUUAGUAAAGAUGGUAAAAGAACCAUAUUGUCCUGAUAUCCAGUGCUUAGUACAACACAUCAAUUCUGGAUUAUUCCAUGUAAUCGUACAAGUCUUUCCUUCCCUCUGCUCAGGCUGGGGAGGUUCAUCAAGACUUGAUGUAGUCAGAGACCCGUUUGAAGAAUUUUCAACAGCCAAGUAUUGGAGUUUUUAGUAAGUUUAGGAAAUUGUUUUGUUUUGUGUUUUAACUUUUUACUCUAUUUUCUCAUCCAAAACUCUUCAUUUGACCAGCAGCGGAGUGAGAAGGAAGUCCUUCCAAACAGCGAUUCCUGUCCUCCCAUAUCGAUCAGGAUCUAAUAAUGCAGUUUUACAGAUGUGUGGGUUUGUCAGUGCGAUAAGUAGUCCUUUCAGUGCAGGUAUAUCUCCUGCUGUGCUGCGGUAUGCAUUGGGGAGCUCAUCGAAGGCACCACUAAUACUUCCAUUUUCUGGUUUGGGUUUAGCGCAGGUUUUCUGUAGAGCUGCCAAUGACAGCUGUGGGAGGGCUGGAAUGCGGCUCUUCGUGCCCAUCCCUGGAACUGUGGUCCCAAGCAGAUGCUGUAGGAGACUGGCUUGUACAACCUAUUUCUUCUCACUAAGUGUAAAGGACUAAGCGUGGUGGAUCCCAUCAAUAACCACGUGGCUUCCUGAACGGGCAGUACUUCUGUUAGUCUGGUUUUAUGAACUAGGAACAUGUUGGUUACAUCUCCUUGAUGUUGCAUGUGGCCGUGUUUUUGUGUUAGGCAGGCAGGCAGGCAUUCCUUGCCAGAAAGACUAGUUAGGUCAGGGCUGCCAUGAAGAAGUUGGCAGGCAUUGAGCAGGAGGGCCAAGACAGUGAAGUGGGUGAAGUGAUUUUGGGUGUCUGGCCUGAAGUGCAGGAAGGCAGUGAUGGACAGUCCCCCAGCAGAGAAGUUCUUUCUUUGUAGGUUUUCCUCUGACUUAAAAUCAUCUGGCAGUAAUGCCCGUGCACAAGGCUGGAAAAACAAGCAGUGGGGUGGGGUGCGAAUCCAGCAGAUGGUGGCUGCUGUUUCUGCCAGCUGAGGGUGGGGAGUAAAGCCAGGGACACAGGUCUGUGUGGGUGAGUGGGGGAUUCCACCCAAAGACCAGAAGGUCUUCAAGACGCGGCAUCUCCUGCGCACUAGAGGAUCUUGUUGAAAGUCUGUUCUCUCUAGCUCUGGGCUAUGGAAUCACCCUGUGGUCAGCACACAGGAGGGCCUUGCUGUUUGACUUGAAUCUCCCUAUAAUGUAGCUGAAGAACGUUUGGACUGUGCUCAUGGAAUGAGUCAUCUUGCUUUCCCAGCAGUGUGCCCAUCACAAGAAUAGUAGACGUUAUUAGAGCAUUUCUACUUCUGAGACGUGUAAGUCAGGCAAGUAAAGUCAUCUCAGAUUUUUGAAGCAAAAAUGCAUGUGAAGCCUCUGAAAAUCCUGAGUCACAGUAAAAAUUUCCUAAGGAAUUUUUCAUGGGCAGUUGAAGGACCACACGCAGUAAUGCCAAAGUUGCAUUAAAAGAAAUCUGAGGUAGUUAGAUGACGUAGUCUCAAUCUUCUGUGUUCGUAGGUCUUAGAUUUGUCUAAAUGUGAUGACUGGGGACAAAGUAGCAGCAGUAUUUGGGUAGGGAGGAGAAAGCCUGACAAAGUUGUUCAGUGUUUAUUAAGAGAGUAACAUCUGUGAUUUUUUUUUUUUUUUUUUUUAAGGGAAUACGUCUAGCAGACUGUAUAUUUCCAUUUUAAUCUCUGCCGUUCGAUUAGACUCUCUAGGAGGAGGGUACCCUUUCCGAGUAAGGGUACAGGGUAAACUGCUUUACAAGGGUAUGGUAAAAAUCAUGAAAGCAAUGGAACAGCUUUUCCUGGUGUGAAAUCCGAACUUUCAAAAGUAACAAGUUGCUUGUAGGCUUGCUAACCAGCAGAGGAGUAGCAGGUAACAACACUGAAUUAUGUCUAUGCUGUCUUCUGUAGAUGUGUAUGUUUCAGGUUGAGGUCCUAGGGAUGGAGAGCAGCCCUGCGGAGGACUCAGGGUACUGAUGGACAAAAGGCUGGACACGAGCCGGCAACGUGCGCUGGCAGCCCAGACCCCCAGCCGUGCCCGGGGCUGCAUCCCCAGCAGCGCGGGCAGCAGGGCGAGGGAGGGGGUCCUGCCCCCCUGCCCCGCUCUGUGAGACCCCCCCGCAGCGCCGCCUCCAGCUCGGGGCUCCUCAGCACGGGACAGACACGGGGCUGUUGGAGCGGGGCCAGAGGGGGCACAGAAAUGCUCCGAGGGCUGGAGCCCCCCUGCUGCGAGGCCGGGCUGGGGGAGCUGGGGUUGUGCAGCUGGGGAAGGGGAGGCUGCGGGGAGACCUUAUUGUGGCCUCUCAGCGCUUAAAGGGGGACUAUAAGAAAGAUGGGGACAGACUUUUUAGCAGGGCCUGUUGUGAUAGGACAUGGGGUGAUGGUUUUAAACUAAAGGAGGGGAGAUUCAGACUAGAUACAAGGAAGAAAUUGUUUACAUUGAGGGUGGUGAAACCCUGGCCCAGGUUGCCCAGAGCGGUGGUCGAUGCCCCAUCCCUGGAAAUAUUCAAGGUCAGGUUGGACGGGGCUCUGAGCAACCUGGUCUAGUUGAAGCUGUCCCUGCUCACUGCAGGGGGGGUUGGACUGGAUGGCCUUGAAAGGUCCCUUCCAACCCAAACCAUUCCAUGAUUCUAUGAAGUUUGAAAUGCAAAGUAGUUGUGUGUUUCACAUCUCUUUAACCAUCAUGUAUUUCCAGUAGUGAGUAAAUCAAUGCAGGGUGGCCCACAAGGAUAUUUCAUGUAGCUUUGUUUCUAUAUCAAAAUGUGUAUCUUUCAUGUAGUGAGCUGGAUCUGGCGAUAGAGACUGAGCUUUGCUCUUGAUGUAACAGGAAUACGGGCACUAUGUAAUCCGCAUUGAUUAUCUGUUGGCAGUUGCUGCGUUGGCAGGUGAAAGUUGGAUGAUGAUGCCUGAAUUUAUGAAUCCCCUGUGCAUUGAGGGACUGCAGCAUAUAAAUAUGUAAGAGGACCUCCAGGAGGAAACGUGGGACUGGCAAAGCCACACUGAUCUCGAGCAAAGCCACAGUUCUUUUUGAAUGCACAGAGCCUUUGCGUGCGUGUGCAGCAACCUCUGCUCUGUUCCAAACUGAGACCACAAAAUCUUUGGUGAGAAAAAAAACCACAAUCGGACUUUAAUACCAGCACACUGGGAAUGAUUGCAGUUACUUACAGAGAUAGGAUUGCUUGAUGGAAAUUGAGAUGUAAUAUGCAGUUGUGUGUUAUAUGCCUGGUUCAGUCCUGUCAUUAUAACAAUUCAGCCAGUGCAGGUGUGUUACUGCUGCCUGAAAGAUGAUGUCUGAUGGCAGAAUGAAAGGAGAGGCAGAAGCCUAUGGCUGUAUAACAUCGGUUUUUGUUCCAAUUAGUUGUCUAAAUAAGAUAUUUUAGAAAUGGUAGUUCAUUGAACAGCAAUCAGAAAUUAGGCUCCAAAAAAGUUAAAACUCGUAUUUUUAUUUGAUACCUUCAGUAUGCCAGUGCCUGGUCCCUUUUAUUUACUGAUGAUGUUUUAGCUUCCAUUCUCAUCUCAUCUCUCAUAAUACCUGAAGAAUACUCAUGAUGUCACAUGAAUUGAGCUGGCUGGUAAGUUACCUGUCUUUAUACCUCUGGAGAAGUUUGAUUGCAGGCUUUUCUGAAAAUAUUUUAUUCCUAGCACUUCAUUUAUGCCCCAUGUGGUGUUACAGCCUCUGCGGGCGCACCAGUAUACUAAAAUUGUGUCACAGGGCCAAGUGAAUUGGAUCCUGAUGUGCUUUUUAAAUUUAUAAAAAAACCUUGCAGAAUAAAUGUUUGCCGGUGGGUGAGUCCCAGGCCGCAGCAGCACUGCGUGCCACGGCCUGCCGGCGCGAGCUGCCCCUCGCCGUCAGGCUGAUGGUGCACCUCCCAAGAGACCCUUGCGGGACAGUAACCGGGGGAAGGGAUUGCUAGGGCAGAAGUGUUGAUCACAUCAUGGUUUCUUGUGCUGCGUACCGUGUUCUUAAAUUGUUAGAAUAAUGCCUGGUACGAUCAAGCUAUACCUCACUACUUAAGUCAAGCUUUGUUUGAGCCCAGUGCUUUUAAAAUUGGAAUGGUUCAGGUGAACCUUUGUUUUGAAAUAUUCAGAAUUGUUUCUUACAGUUGCGUGCACGAAUCUCAGUUGUAUCCUCAUUUCAGAAAUUCUAGCAUUCCAGCAGAUGGCUCUUCAGCCGCUCUUUUGGAACCCGCACUGGGGAGAGAGUUCAAAAGAGAGAGGGAAAUGGGACAGAAGGCUGUAGGAGACUCUAGUUUCUUUUCAAUAUUUGUUGUUGUAUUUUUUCAAUAUGUUUUCCUUUUCUAGGCUACCUGGACUUAGGCUCUGUCCCUUUCAGCCUCUUGUGGUUCAUUGUGCGCUCCCAUCAGCUCUGUCCGAAGGCUUGACUCAUGUUUACCUUACAGUUUAGAGCUGCUUCUCUUUGCAAACACUAAAAAAACCAAACACAACAACAAAACAAAAAACCCUGACUGAUAUUUCACUUUUUUCCUGAGUUUCUGUACUUCUAAACUGAAGUGUUUAGGAAGCUGGGUCUGAAUUAGCUUUUAGUGCAGGUGAAAUAGGAAGUAGUUGUGCGACUGCCCGUUAUAUUUGCCUGGAAACACCUUCUUGGGUGUCACCUGCGUCGUCUCAGCACCUUCUGAGACACCCGCUGCUCUGCAAGGCUCACGGAAUAUUUGUGAGACUUCGUAAUGCCGCGCAAAAAGAAGGGCAGAGCAGGAUGCAAAUCAGUUCUACUCUCAGAAAAGGAGUUUGCUGCCUGCUUUUUUAGCACAUGAUUUGGGCUGAGAGAAGGAGAAUUGGAAGGGAUAGUUCUGGUUUCAUUGAAAAUCUCAUGAAGAGCUGUGCAGCACUGUCUUCUGGGUAAAGGGCAGCCCUUUGGGAGCUGAAGAUUGGUAAGACACUGGUGCAGCUUUUCUUUGGCCUUGGCUCCCCUUGCAAUGUUAAAGGUUUUGCUUUUCUAGGUUGUUUCUUCUGAUGCUUUGCCAGUAUUACAGAUGGGAGGUAUUAAUUAGCAUGUUCUUAACAGCAGCAACAAGCAAAAACCCACACCACCACCCCCAACACACAGAAGUUUGAGAAGAUGGUAUUUAUUCACUAAAGCUUCUGAUGUGGAUGUGCUAGGGAGCUGGGGCAGGACCUCUGCGGGACCACUGAGGUCCCACAGAGCACGGGCUGUGCUGGGUUAUCGUGUGUCAGGCCUGAUAGAGAGCUAUGUCAGGGCGUUUGCGAAGGUGUCUGAGCUGUUUGCAGAGUGGAGGUGACUCUGAAAGCAGCAUGGUUAUAGUUACCUUGUGCUUGACUGCAGAAGCCCGGACCUAAGGUGGCUUGGCCUCUGCCUGCAGCUUCUGCUUCGUUCACAAACAUGUCAGGCCCUGCAUACAUAUGUCCUUUCCAGUUUCUCUCAAGAGCCUGGUGAGAGGGAAGUUCCUGAUCUUGCCAAAACCCAAACAAACAAACAAAAAGUGUAGCUUCGCUUGCAGCUUCUCAGCUCUUGAUACGGUUCGCUGCAGAGGUCUGUGCUGUCUCUUUGUCCUUCCUCUUAGUGUGUGACCUGCUCCUCUCUGGGCUAGUGCUCUUUCCCCUUUUUAUGAUGACUUCCCAGAACUUGGUCUUCCAGCCUUCUACCCACGUUGUGUUUAUGAUAAGUAAAAUCUUAUCGGUACUCUGGUUACCUUUGGUGGGUUUUUGUCUGUGGAUAGUUGCAGAACCUCCUGACAUCACUUAGAGCCUUGGUUAAUGCCUGAGAUCUGGCAGCAGUAGGUAAUAUUUAAGGUGAUGCUGCUUCACUGACUCUAAAUACCUUCCUCUUCUGUUGGGGUCUUCCCACCUCUCAGUGCUGUUAUCCUAGCAUUGCAGAGGGCCAGCUCUGAAGAAUUUCCAUCUUCCAGAACAGUACAAGAGGUAGGAGAAAGGAUGAAAUCAAGCCUUUAUUGGCUCUGAGGUUUUGGUCUAUUGUCCGAGUCCUAGGAAUGGUAAUCUGCUUGUUGAUGCAAAUUGCGCAUCUUGCGACCCAAGAAUUUAGUUAGGUCCAGAGUUCAGCUUGGCUUCAGUGAGCUUUAGAGCUUUGUACCUAUGCACUGCUGGCAGAAACCCAUCAACCAUUUCUUGGAAGAGUUAAUUUGCUGGUCAGAUCCAUUGGAGGUGAGCACUUUUCUUCUAGAUCCCUUGACCUCUGGUCUCUGGCCUGUGCUGGAUCAUCAGCCUGGCUUUACGUAUGUGUCUUAAUCUCUUUAGGAUUCGAGACAUGAAGAUUUCUUCAGUUUCAUCCCUUUUUUAGGGAAAUAGCAUGUUGUGGUCACAGCUGUCGGGUAGCUUGUGAAUCUUAAAAUCUGUAGUUUCUCCAAAACUGGUGGCUGUUCUGUAUUUGCUGCUUUUGGCCAUUAGGCCUAGAAGGUGCUCUCGGGAGUGCGGUAGCGUGCUGCCUCCCGGGAUGGUGCCUUGCUGGUGAUACCUUGAUGGGUAGCAUUGCUUUGACUCGUGUAGGCAACCAGGAAUCUUGCAGCCUGGUUGUUUGUCAUUCAUGUGAGUACAUCGGACUCAUCAGGAUUUUAAAUCCUUGCCUGUUCCUAGUCUUUUUUUAAGACAAAUCCACUAAGUAGAUGCCAGUUAAUGUCACCGCUGCACAACUUCAUGAAAUGCCUGUGUAGAUGAUGGGGAAGUCACUGUUGCAUUUUAUUUCAUCUGCAGGAUAUCCAGGUUGAUCCAUCUUUGAACAGUUUCUCUCUCCUUAAUGGGCAGUUUGGAAAAAAUGAUGAUCUGUUCCAGAGUAGUUGGGAUUUUCUUUUUACUCUUCAUGCUUAAAAGAAGCAUCUGGUAGGAGAAACAGAGUUAAAAAGAAGAAAGCCUUGCCACUAAAGCUGAGGAACUGGACCAAGCCUCAGACAAACUGGUAUUCAAGAGUAAACCAUAAAAAUAGCCUAAAUCAGCUCUGGCAGUAUGUCACAUUUCUUUUAGCGAGCUGAAGCAGUAACUCUGGUAACUGUCGCCUGCCUUCUUGCUUCCAGAUUUAGUCCUAAGUUUUAGUUUAUAGACAGUUGUACAGAGGCAAAGACACUUGAUGGCAUGUGAAACAGGUGACUUGCUUCAUUUGACUUACCUUUGCCUUUAUGCGCCCGGAGAGGCUGGAGGAUAAUGUAACGCCUCCAGUCUAAUUGCAGUUUCUUUAUGUGACAGUUGAUCGGCUAUUUACAUGUUAACGUUACUAACCAGCUGUCGCAAUGGAAUUCUUCACGACAUUAAUGAAGAGCGCAGCAGAGCCUUUCCUAUGAUUGUUAAGUCUGGUUUACCCCCCUUAUUUGUAAUAGAGAUCUUGUUUGCUGCUUCUGUAUCUGCUAAAUACCAGUCUCCUCUUUUCCCUGGCAUAGGGUUAGAGGACGUGUGCUCUGUUAUAACAGUGUUCUUGUGUUUGAAAUGUAAUUAUUUCUACUUUCAUCUGUUUUUAGAUGAUGACGGAUAGACACUGUGAUGGGCACUAAAUCACAGACUGGCAAUGUGAACUCUGAUGGCAGGUACUUGUAUCCAGUCUGGGUGGUGUGACGUAUCUGGGGAAGGCCUAGGUGCUGCAUGUCUCUUGGCCGUGCUUUUCUCUCUUCUCAAUUUAUUAAUUUCAGCAUUGAUAGAAAUGUUUGUCUUUAUUUAUAGCAUAUCCAAGAGCUGUGCUGCAACAGAGAAGAUACAGACUCCAGCACAAAGUCACCGGUCUGGUUGUGAGGCACUUUCUCUGUUCAUGAUUGAGAAUUAGUGUCUGUGUGGUGCUUGUUGCUAGAAGCCAUGGAGCUCCUAGUGCUCAUUUAUUUCUCCGCUACGAGUUCAGCUGCUCUCUGCUCUGUGAUGGGGGACUGCUGGUUGCCCUUAGCUGUGCUUUAAAGACAAAAUUUCCUGUUUUCGGCCAAGUUUAGGUCACGUUUGUUGUGAAACCUAAUGAAAGCAUUGGCUAAUGUAUAUCUUGAUUCUCUGAUUUGGGUUAUAAAGGACUUGCCUGUGAAUCUUUUUUUGACAGAUAAUGAAGUCUCUGGAUUUCUGCCUUAGGUAACCAAGCAAAUAGUAGAACCAUGUGUAGACAACAAGGUUUUAUUAUUCAUGGGGAAAAAUGUAGUAUAAGAACUUGAAAUCUAGAUCACCUUUAGUUAAAAUAAGUAAGUAACAAAAUUGAAGGAGGUACAGUACCUUAAUGCCACAACUUCAAAGAACGAUGUAGAAAUUCUUGCGUGAAUCUUGUUUAAAUUCUCAUUAAAACUAUGCAUAAAAUCUGUACUUUUGCAGUAAAUGUAAAACGUACCACGUGUUAGCUGUCUUCUAGAGGAGCCCCGGCAUCUGCCUCUCAUGGCAAGUGAUCUGAGCAGUGACUUACCUGCAUUAGCAGUUCCAGGUGGGUGUGUUACAUAUUUGCAGUCUUCUCUCUUGUUCUAUACAGUGUACUAGAAACUGCAUGUGCCUUGUAUAAUUUGUUUCCUACCCAGUCCUCUUGUAAUGUCCAGUUUUCUUAAUAAACAUCUUUUGAAGUCA